rnacentral:rRNA from 1 species
UACAGAGGUCUCAAGCGUUGUUCGGAUUCAUUGGGCGUAAAGGGUGCGUAGGCGGCGCGGUAAGUCGGGUGUGAAAUCUCGGAGCUUAACUCCGAAACUGCAUUCGAUACUGCCGUGCUUGAGGACUGGAGAGGAGACUGGAAUUUACGGUGUAGCGGUGAAAUGCGUAGAUAUCGUAAGGAAGACCAGUGGCGAAGGCGGGUCUCUGGACAGUUCCUGACGCUGAGGAGCGAAAGCAUGGGGAGCGAACAGG